GACAGAGGAUGCAAGCGUUAUCCGGAAUGAUUGGGCGUAAAGCGUCUGUAGGUGGCUUUUUAAGUCUGCCGUCAAAUCCCAGGGCUUAACCCUGGACAGGCGGUGGAAACUACCAAGCUGGAGUACGGUAGGGGCAGAGGGAAUUUCCGGUGGAGCGGUGAAAUGCGUAGAGAUCGGAAAGAACACCAACGGCGAAAGCAAUCUGGUGGGCCGACACUGACACUGAGAGACGAAAGCUAGGGGAGCGAAUGGG
rnacentral:rRNA from 1 species